GCGGAAAUGGCGGAAUUGGUAGACGCACCAGAUUUAGGUUCUGGCGCCGGAAGGUGUGAGAGUUCAAGUCUCUCCUUCCGCACCA
rnacentral:tRNA from 1 species